GAAAAUACGGUCCUGAGAACGUCCAGGCGAUACUCUCCCUUCUCCAAAACUUGGGUACGGUACUGGAUCAACAAAACGGGACAAGAGAAGAGGUGCGACAGGUGGCAGCACAGGUUUUGAACCAUCCAGUCAUGCAGCAAUUUAUUGUUGCCACGAGAGCCGUCGACCUCCAGAACGCAAACGGGACAUCGUUGCUGUUGUCAAGCGCUUCUGG
rnacentral:lncRNA from 1 species